rnacentral:lncRNA from 1 species
UAUCGUGCGCAAGCGUUCCCGGAGGUGGGAGAUCACAGGGUGACUUGGGACAGGUGUCUCAUCAAGUGACUUACCUCGUUUUUUCUGUCAAAUGGAGAUCAUAGCUUCUACACUACUUGCUAUGUGGCACGCAGCAACUAUGAUGGUACAUCCAAAAAUAGGAAUUGAGGUGCUUUGAGAAAGAAAGGUGACUGUACAGGUUUAAGGACUUCAAGAAGCAGACACCCUCUGCGCUGCGUAAGAACCAAAGCCAAGGGCAGAAGCUGGGCACACCCACAGGAACUUAAUGUCCCCCACAGGCUGGGCUGGGGCCUUCCACACGAAUGACAGGUUUCUCUUCAGGGACUUGUCAGAGUGGGUGACUGCAUCAGCCUCUUGAAAACAAGUCAUCAGUUUGGAAUGAGGAGGAAUGAGAACGAAAGUGCCAGCGAUUUGAUGAUCGGACACUCUUCGAGCCUGAAGGAGAAAUCCCAUGAAAUCACGACUGCUUCUCACUGUCACUGCAACAAAAACACCCGUUCAACAUGAACACGUGUGACUUAGUUCCGUGUGGUGAUUUUAUGCAGCUUUUUUCAAAACUAAAAGCUUAAGAUCAGCCCCCAGAAAGUGAACAAUUCAUUAGAGGGGGGUAAAGUUGAAGUCCUAUUUCACACCAAAAUAAAUUCCAUUUGGAUCAAAGUUAUGCGAAAAUGAAAUAAAAAAUAACUAGAAACUUUUUUUCUUUUUAUAAAUAUUGGAUUUAGAAAUACCUCUCUGAGCAAAACCCAGCUGCCAUAAAGGAAAAGAUGAGUAAAGUGUGCUAUACUUUUUUAAAAUAUGAGUUUAGGUGAACCCUGGACAGAUGAUUAAAAAAAAUUAUUUUCCAAAAAAAAGUAUUUGUAAGACAUAAAACAGACAAAUAUUCAUUGUCAUGGUGAAUUCAUAAAAAGAUGACUGCCUCAAAAUAAUGAAAGGAUACAAACAGAAAUAAAAAAAGCUUAGUAAUAAUUUUUUUUUUUUGAGACAGAGUCUCGCUCCGUCACCAGGCUGCAGUGCAGUGGCACGAUCUCAGCUCACUGCAACCUCUGCCUCCUGGGUUCAGGCGAUUCUCCUGCCUCAGCCUCUCGAGUAGCUGGGAGUACAGGCACGCACCACCACGCCCAGCUAAUUUUUGUAUUUUCAGUAGAGACAGGGUUUCAUCAUGUUGGCCAGGGUGGUCUCGAUCUCUUGACCUUGUGAUCCGCCCUCCUCGGCCUCCCAAAGUGCUGGUAUUACAGGCGUGAGCCACCGCAUCUGGCUGCUCAGUAAUAAUUUUUAAAGCAAUUAUACAUGAGAUAUUAUUUUAUACCUUUCAUAUUAGCAAAUGUUAAAAUGUGUGGUUGUAAGCAGUCUUGAUAAGACUAUGGAAAAACUAGGGCAUUCAUUCACUAGUGCUGGAACUAUAAACCAUCCAACUUUUUGUGGUGUAACCUGACAACAUCUUCCACAUUUAAAAUGCAGUUACCCCUCUGAUACAUGCUACCUUAUCAGUUAGCCCUGAAAACAUAGUAAGUAAAAUAAAGCCAGACCCAAGAUGACAAAUAUUGCAUUAUUCCACUUAUGUGAGGUACCUAGAGCAGUCAAACUAACA